rnacentral:lncRNA from 1 species
AUCAUCCUUGUUGUAAAACUGGGUGAAGCUCCUCGCCAAAGAAGGAUCUUAGCAGAUUUCGUGGUGGUUGAUUUUGCCAUCCAACUAUAACGCAAUAUUGGGAUGACCCAUUUUACAUGAGCUAAAAGCUGCUAUAUCAAUUUAUCAUUAUUGUAUGAAAUUUCUCACUCUUUACGGGACAGCAAUUAUCCGAGGGGAUCAAGCUGGAGCAAGGGCAUGCAAUGUCGACCUGCCAAAGCCACAAGUCAACAUGCUAAGGGACAGGUGAACACGCAAGCCGGGGAAGCCAGACUGAAGAGACAAAUCAUUGUGGAUCUUUUUGAGAUUGGCAUAACAGAGAAGCACCUCAAGAAAGCCACAGAUGAGUAAUUAUCCUUUGAUGAAAAAGAGGCGGGCCCACAUCCUUACCCCGGAGUUCUAGUUAUCUUGUUGCCCGUAGCUGCAGUAACCAUCCCCAAAGUCUUAGUAGAUACGGGGAGUGCUCUAAACAUCCUCUUCAACAACACCCUUAAAUGGAUGGCUAUCCCUGCUAACUUUCUCCAACCGUACUCAAAUAUGGUCAUUGGAUUAAGCGGAGCCUUGAAUUUCGCCAAAUGAUCGAUCAAGCUCAAAGUCGAGCCAGGAUCAGCACUCCAAUAGGUGAAGACAAACUCCGAGUUCGUAUUAUUCGACACUCUAUCGCUUUAUGAUACUGUAAUGGCACAACCCCUACUAUUCAGCCUGAGAGAAACAGUGUCCCUAUAUCACUAUUCAAUCAAGUUCAAGGAUCCCAGGGCGAGAAGAACUGGCAGUGUGUUCGACAGACUGGGGACCCAGCACUCGCUAACUCCUACGCAAGGACAAACUCACCCUAACCUUAAGCUUUCUCUGGAACAGACAGAACCAGAGUUGAGCGCCCUGAAAAGCGAGAGAAACAGUGUCCCUAUAUCACUAUUCAAUCAAGUUCCCCACACCCCAUGGUGUGGGUGAAGUCAAAGGAAACGGGGAGCUCGCCGAAAGAUGUCAAUAGAAACCUUGCACCAGCCAUCAAAUCACACCCCCCCGAGAGUACAUAUGGCCAAUAAAUGGGAAUUCGAGCUCAUUCCAUUGAGUCCUUAAUUCAUAGAGGUCGGUUACUUGAGUUUGUUGCCAAACCGAAUGAAGCAAAUCAACCUACGACGCAGUAGUCGCUGUUGCAGGGGCCUCCCGCAUAAGCUCAGCAGGCAGUCCCUAUUCGUAAUCCACCCCCACGCGUCGAAAUCAAAAUGAUGGUGGGAGAAAAUUAGUAUGUUGAGAGGUCUAGAAGGGCAAAAAGAAGACAAGCCCAAGUGCAAGAAUCGUCCCGAACUACUGGAAUCAAACCCCGCAGAUCGGGAUAGACCCUGAAUGGUUCUGGUUCACGGAGGAAGAUUCUGAAGGAAUCCUCCAAGAUCAAAGUGACGCCCUAGUGGUCACAAUGCCAGUUGUCAGAGUAAAAAUCCACCGGACAUUGGUAGACAACGGAAGUUCGGUCAACAUACUGUACUCACGAACUUUGAGACAGUUGGAAAUAUCGGAACCCUACCUCCAACCAUACUCAAGGAAACUACAAGGAUUCUCUAGAGAUCCUAUUGAAGCUUGAGGUCAAAUCAUCCUUGUUGUAAAACUGGGUGAAGCUCCUCGCCAAAGAAGGAUCUUAGCAGAUUUCGUGGUGGUUGAUUUUGCCAUCCAACUAUAACGCAAUAUUGGGAUGACCCAUUUUACAUGAGCUAAAAGCUGCUAUAUCAAUUUAUCAUUAUUGUAUGAAAUUUCUCACUCUUUACGGGACAGCAAUUAUCCGAGGGGAUCAAGCUGGAGCAAGGGCAUGCAAUGUCGACCUGCCAAAGCCACAAGUCAACAUGCUAAGGGACAGGUGAACACGCAAGCCGGGGAAGCCAGACUGAAGAGACAAAUCAUUGUGGAUCUUUUUGAGAUUGGCAUAACAGAGAAGCAC